UUUCUUCACAUAUUCAUGAAGAACCAUAAAGCAAUGGCUCUCAAACUUAGUUUUAGCAGCAGAGCCCUUUCAUCAGAUAAAAAUGUAUUGUUGGAAGCCCAGUUCAAGCAGAAUAAAGGACCUGCUGGUUGAACUGGGGUGGGUGGUAGUGGGAUGGAGACAUUGAAUCCAGCUGACUCAUUUUCCCCUUUUUUCUUAGACCACCCCUGGGGCACUUUGGCUGGAACAAAGUUAGAGAACCGCUCAUCAAAAGCGUGAAUGCAGCUUUCCCCAAAAUGUGUUUCUGGGAACUCUGCUUCAGGGUGUCCCAUGAAAAAAGGUUCCAUCGUCACAGAAGUUUGAGAAACACUGGAUUAACCAAGAGGCCCUUUCUCCUCAGAUCUGGUGUGCUGUUACCAGAGCCUUCUAGAGCAAGUGUCCACGGGAGCUCAGGACGGCUGCUUUGAUUCUCCUGGCCACAAACCCUGC
rnacentral:lncRNA from 1 species